rnacentral:lncRNA from 1 species
CCCUUCCCCCCUCUGUGCGCGUCCACGAUUGACGCGUCAGCCACGAGCAAUGAAAUUGAAAUGCAGCUAAGGCUGCUGGUGUCGGAACACAGAAAGGACCUCGGCCUCACUACUGUCUGGGAAGACCAGCUCUCCUAUCUUUUAUCACCAGCUUUGGCUUCAUAUGAAUUUGAGCGAACGACAAGCAUAUCUGCAGGCAACGAAGAAUUCCAGGAUGCCAUAAGGAGGGCUGUACCUGAUGGCCACACAUUUAAAGGGUUCCCCAUACAUUUUGUGUACAGAAAUGCAAGGCGUGCAUUUGCCACUUGUCUUCGGUCUCCUUUUUGUGAAGAAAUAAUCUGUUGCCGUGGAGACCAGGUGCGACUGGCAGUUCGUGUUCGAGUGUUUACCUACCCUGAGUCUGCGUGUGCUGUUUGGAUCAUGUUUGCUUGUAAAUAUCGCUCGGUAUUAUAGGACUAACAUUUCCUAAGAAUUAUUCCUGGGUUUUAUUAGAAUUGUAUAUGGAUAGCUGUGUGAAGGUUUCUUAAUUUAAAAUCAGCCUUUUGGAUGUCAUUGUUUUGUAUAGAUCUGACUGGUAACGUUUUAAAAUAUCAUGUAUGUACUUAAAAAUUAAGGAUAAAAAUUUGUACUGAAUUUAGUAGAAUUAAGGGUAUGAUAAUAAAUGGUACUUUGUUUUGAGGGACUCAGUAGUUUAAAUGUGAAUGUAAGAUCUGCUACUUCAUAUUAAUAAGUAAGUAAAGGGAUUUGUCUAAUGGUUUAAGCCAUAGCUAAAUCGAAAUGGUCAUUAUUUUUCAUAAAUGAAAGAUUAUUUUACACGAAUUGGGAGAAAUUAACCUCAUAAUAGUUUAUUUAUUACAUAGAUGAAGAUAUAUUUUGCUAAAUUAAUCAUUUUUGUGUGGUACUAGGGGUAUAUGAGGCUUCCCAGAAAUCUGUGAAGACUUUUAUGUAAGAAAAAAGCUAGGUGUGGUGGCACACACUUUUAAUUCCACAAGAGGCCAGCCUGGUCUACAUAGCAAGUGUCAGGGCUAUACAGUGAGAACCAGACUCCAAAACACAAACAACGACGACAAAAGGAAUGUGGUAACCAAAAUGCUGAAUGUUAAUAACAAAUCGCACAUGGAUAUGGACUAUGAAUAAUUUAUGGAUAUUUCUAAAAUCCAUUGAGCACUUUAGAAAGUGACUUAUUACAUGUCAUUGUCACGAUACUGGCUGCUCUUUAGUUUUUGUUGUGACAAAAGCAUCAGCCUGUUGCCAGGCUGUGGUGGUGCAGACCCUUACUUCCAGCACUAGGGAGGCAGAAACAGGCAGAUCUCUGUGAGGUCAAGGCCAGCCUUGUCAGUAGAGCUAGCUCCCGGACAGCCAGGGCUACACAGAGAACCCGGCCUCACAAAACAAACAAAAAACCCAAGAAAGAGACCG